GAGGAAGGCAAAUCUCGGGGAUGCAGCCCGAGAGUUGGCCUCGGUUUGCACCUGGAGGAGGAGCUGAGGCGUUCUGGGCAUCCUACAGAAACUGACAAGCGCUCCCCUGUACCCUCCGAAUCUAUACAACGGCCCAAAGGGAGCAGGCGGAAGAAAGAGCUCAGGCUCUCUGGCCCCGAAGUCCAAAAAUACCUUCAUUUCCUCAUUGAUCUCCCUUUUCACUGGCCUGAUUCCUCCAGAAAAUACAUUGGAGAGUGGAUAGGAAGACCCCAGGGUGAUCUGCCUUCAGCCCUCAACCCCUAGAUCUGCGUCUUUGUUAUCUCCAAGAACACCUAACUGGAAGCCCAGUCUUCAUGCCUGAAAAUUUGUCUCCAACGUGCUGUUCGGCCCUGAGUUGUCUCUUUAUUACAUCCCAGAGGGAGGACAUUGAGUGGAAAAGUUUCCACAGUUUCACUAUGAGAAGACAUUAUACAUUUCAGUGGAAGAAAGAAAAUGUCAUCAAAAGCUAAGUAGAUAAGUUAAGGAUGCUAUAAUAAGUCUUGGGAUAUAGGCUGUGCAUUUGUUUUGUUUUUUAAUUCCAUUAAAGUCAGUAAAUCUGUGUACCAGAUGCUGAAGUAGGACUCUUGCUUCAAGCCAGUUUUGCCCUUCCCAUCUGAAGUCAGCCAGUCUUUAGUGCAGCUGAUCUCCUUUUGAGUCUGGAGGUGAGGGAGAGCUGGCAGGGACAGAUGGAAGAGAAGAGAGAAGAUCCGGGGACAGUGACUAGAAGCUGUGCUCCUUGAGGAAGUCUCAGGAUGUACAGUAUGGGAAGGUGCCGAAGCCCUAAACUGGGAAACAAAACAAAACACCAGCAUGGGGAAAAAAAAAAAGGAAGUUCAACAUUGAACACAGAGUAUGCACAGAGGCAUCUUUUUAUGUGGUGAGCAGUAGAGUUUUGUCACUGAACACACGAACAAUUAUAUAGAAUUUAGUAAUACAAAAGCUACUAUUUCUUGAAUGCUUUUUACACACCAGGGACCAUGCUUAAUAUUUUACAGAGAUUAUUUUAUUCAAUCUUCACACAGUUGACACAAUUACAGAUUGUGUUCCAUUUUGCAGAUGAGGAAAUGGAGAGUUAAGACAUUCAGCAUUUGCCUAGUAAGUGGGCCAGCAGUCUGAGUAGCGUCUAGAAUUCUCCCUGCCACCUUGUAUUACCAAUGGUUUUGGUGAGGAGUCUUGCUUACAAGUAACAAAACGAGCUCUAACUGUCUAAAGAAAAAAAAAUGUUGGAGGAAAGAGGGUUCACAGAAUCCAAGAGGCUGGGAGAACAAGCUUGGGAAACAGGCAAGAACCCAGGGCCUCAGGAGGCCAGGCCACAGGAACACCCUAUCCAAGAUGCCACCAUCUCUGCUUCUGCUAUACCAUACCUUCUAGAAAUGACAACUGGACAUCAUGCUGACCCCAUGAGCUGCCCCAGAUGCUCCUCCUUCAUCUUCACCUCGGGGUGCACAGGCCUGGAUGGGAAGGUCCACGGCCAGGUGUUGGAGCCCCUGUUCCAUAUUCCAGGGGGUGGGGAGAGUGAGAUUCAAACUGUUUGGCAUCCACAGUGGAAAGUGAGGUCUUAUAUCCCAAGAUCACACGCGAUGAAGAAUUCCCCUAAAUGCAAGGACAGAUGGAUUUUGACAGCCAAAGGAAUGUUAUAAUGUCCUUCCAGACUACCAGCUGUAGCCACUUUGUAGCAAAUCAUUCCAUUAGGAAAGUAAAUGUAGGGCUGUUAAAAUAAUUUUGAAAGGUCAGGCAAAGGUGGAAUUGUGCAAACAUUAAAUAUUGCAAAUCAAAACCUGACUGACCUAGAAUUUCAUCCUAAUAGAUUUAUUUUCAAUCUCUAAAUGCAGACUUCAAAAAGGCAAAUUUGGUAACCCAUAUGCUAAACAGCAAUUAAUUGGAAUGUUUAGGGAAUGGAAUGUUCUUGUUAACUUAAAUUUCUAACUAAAUGUGAUUAAGCCUUUAAAAAGACCCACAAGCCUUUAUAUUUCAGAUCUUGUCACUGGAAUUCUUAAUAAAAUAUUUGGAUUGUGAGGAUUUUGCAAUUCCUCAGAAUUACUGAUGCCACCAUAUGUGGUUGUAAAGUGCAGUCGGUGUAGACUGUGCUGAAUGUGUUCAGAUCUCGGGGUAUAUGUUCCAUGUACAUUUCAUUAGCCAAAUUUCUUUUUUCAUUUUAGGCUGAUCCUUUUGCAAAUUUUUAUUAAAAUUCUUAUUUUUUAAAAAAGAUUUAUCACCUCUUAACAUAAAGGGGAAAUGGCUAUAUAUUCAAUUACAAAUGCAGAAACAUAUAAUACGAUUUGAUCUUGAAAAUGUAACAGCCAUGAAGGCAUCCAAUAUUCCUUCAUUAGCCAAACUUCUGAUAUGAAUUUGCCUUUUGUUUUCUCCAUUGCAUAAAAAUUAGAUAAAGAGGAGGAAAUAAAUUCUGUCCACGUAAACUUUUUUUUUUUGGAGCCUACUAAGGGCAAGCAUACUACUAGGCACUGUGAACAUAAACAUAAAUAAUAAAGGUGUUUUUAAAAUGAGAUGGGAAUUCAGAAAAUGGGCUGACUAAUUCUGAGUGAAGGAUAGAGAUGGCAACCAUCUGAGCUGGGCCUUGAGGAAUGAGAAGUAGGAUAUUGCCAGAUGAGGGAGGGAGAAGGAGGACAUCCUAGGCAGGAAGAACAGUGUGAAGAAAAGUGUCAAGAGGUGAAAGUGCAAAUGGAGGAAAGGGAAGGGGGAAUAAUUCAGUGGGCCUAGGAUGAGUAUGUUAAAGGGGGCUAUGAGAUCACCCCAAAUGUAGGAUAGGACCAGACUGUCAAUGGCUGCAAAUACCAUCCUAAAGGACAGUGGACUUCUUUCUGAGAGUCCUAGGAAGCCACUGAGUCUUUUUUAGAAGGUGAUAAGAUCAUAAAUGUGGGACAGGAAGAUCACUUUGACAACAGGUAAAAGGCAGAAGAAGAGACCAGAAGUAGGAAAUUACAUAAGAGGUGUUUGUAAAAGUCCAAGAGGUAAUAAAUUAUUGCUUAGACUAGUGCAGUAGUAGUUGGAAGGGAUUCUUUCUACGAGUUACCUUAGAGACAGAAUCCAUAGGAAUUGGUAUCUGACUGAACAGAGGGGAGAGGAGAUUGUGUGAAAAAAGUGAGUAUUUGGAUAAUAGAGCCCAUUGCAUAGUAACUAACUCCUUUUUGCAAAAACAACAAUAAAAAUUGCACUUCUAAUUGGCUCAUUGAAUAAGUGGAGCAGUGGAUUCCAGUUUUGAUUGAUCAUCUCCCCAGCCCAGACCUACUGAAGUAGGUUGUCUGGAAGUAAAGACCAGUAAUUCAUAUUUUAAAAGCUCUCCAAGGAUUCUGAUGAUCAGUCAAUUUAAGAAAGCACUGCAAUUGAAAAUCUGAACAGCAAAUGAUACCCAAUAACAUUAGAUUCUGCGAUAUCUUAUGACGUCCUGUCUGCUCUACUUCUGAAACAUAGCCUGAAUCUCAGUAUCCUCUCUAAUUCCUCCACACCCAUCCUAAUAUUAGGCCCAUUUAUUUAUUGCCAAAACUAAGUAACUGCCACCUACCUGGGCUCCUUGCUUCCACUCUUCUCCCUGUGCAGUCCAUUCUCCACAAAGCAACCAGACCAUUUCUUCAAAAAUGUGAAACAGAACUUGCACCCUCUUGCUGAAAAUGUUCCAGUGACUUCCUGUCACACUGUGAUGGUUUUAAAAUAUGUCCAUAAAUUCUUUGUUGCUUCUCCCUUGAAAAAAUAAAGCCUGAUUCCCCUCCCCUUGAUUAUGGGCUAUUCUUAGUGACUUGCUUGUAAGAAACAGAAUGUGACAAAAGUGAUGGUGUGUGAUGUCCAAGAUUAGGACAUAAAAGAUAUUGUGGUUUCCUUCUUGCUCUCUUUUCUUGAAUCAAUCACUUACUUGGGGGAAGAGAGAUACUAUGUCACAUUCAAGCAGCCCUACAAAGAGGUCCAUAUGGUGAAAAACUGAAGCCCUCUGCCAACAGUCAGCAAGGAACUGAGGGCUUCUGCCAAUAGCCAAUUGAAUGCUCCAUCUUGGAAGCAGAUCCUCCAGCCUCAGUCAAGCCUUCAGAUGACUGUAGCCAUAGUCAAUAUCUUGACUCCAAUUAUCUGAGAGGCCCUGAGUCAAAACCACCCAGUUAUUUGGCUCCCAAAUUCCUGACUCACAGAAACUAUGAGAUAAUAAUGGUUUUAAGCUAUUAUGUUUUGGGGAAAAUCUGUUAGCAACAAUAGAUAACUAAUACACAUACUUAAAAUACAAUCCAAACUCCUUGCCAUGACUGGCAAGGCUCUACAUACUUAGAAUUCUGCCUAUAUUACUAAUUUUAUCUACCACUCACUUUGUGGAAAAGACUAAUAGUUGUCCCUUAACAGAUAAUUGUCUCUACUUUGUUUAGAAAUAGAGUCACCAAAGUUUAUCCAGGUAUAUGAAUUCAAACUACUGACCAUAUUUCCUAGCCUGCCUCACAACUAGAUUUGGUCAUAUGGCAAAUUCUAGCCAAUAGGAUGUGAGCAAAGGGAUGUGUGUCACUCCCAAGUUUUGCCUUUAAAUAGAAGGGAUGUGGCUUCUGUUCCCCUUCCCCUCAUUUCUGAUGACUAGAAUACCAGUAUGAUGGUUAAAGAGGAGAAGCUGGACUAGCCAUGUCAAGUCACAAGAUGGAAGUCUCAUGGUAAGCAUGGCAAAGCAACAGGAUAAAAAGAGCAUUGGUCCCCAAUACCAUUAAGCCAGGUCUGUCUUGUCUUUAACAUGAGCAAGACACAGGGCUAUAUAUUGCAUUAAAUCAUUGCAUUUUUUGGUCUCUUUACUACAACAGCCCAACCUAUACGUUAACUUACUCAGCUCCUUGUUUACCAUGUUCUAGCCACAUUGAUCUUCUUUCUUCUCUUCUACUACCCUGAGGUCUUUGCACUUGCUGUUCACUCUGCUUGGAAUACUUUCCCCGGCCAGGAGUCCCCCAUGGCUGACUCCCUGCUACCAGGUUUCAUUGUUUCAUCUAAAACACCUACCCCUGUGUUGUUCUCCAUUACAUAAUCAUGAAUGAAUUCUAUUCUUCAUGGUACUCUCAGCACCUUAAAUUUUCUAACUUAUCUGUUUGUUGUUUGUCUCCACUAGAAUACAAUCUCCAUAAGAUCAAGACUCUUGUCUGCCUUAUUUCCCGCUGAAUCUCCUGUGCCAGGAAAGUGCCUGCACGUAGUAGGUGCUCUAUAAGUAUCUGUUGUGCAAAUAAGUUAACAAAUGAAUUGAUGAUAAAUGAUGUCAAGAGCCUAGUCCUUGGAUCACUUUUCAUAAUUCAGCCUCCUUUAUCUGCUGAAAUUAGGACACAUCCAUCCUUGAAUUUUCCAUUUUCCAGUUUUAGAAGAAAGCUGCAUCUUAAGACAGAGAAAAUAUUUUCAGGUAAUUUAGGAGUUAUUUUUAUUACUACAGGGCAGCAGUUACUGAUAAGAUGCCUUGACAACUCUAUAAUUUGAUGUUGUCAACCUUUCUAUGUAUAACAAAUGCAGUAUGUCUUGACCCCCUUCUGCCUGAUGUUACCUAUGUAUGCAUUCUAUGCAACAAAAGGAGGAUUCUUCUAUAUGUAGAAUUCUAUCACAAUUUCUCUAGAAACUUAGGGGAUGAAGUCUGACCUAUAUAUUUAUUUUUCUUAAAAAAGAAAGAAAAUAAAGAAAGAAAGUAGAUAGGAAGGGAGAGAGAGAAUGAGAGAGAGAGAGAGAGAGA